AAGUAAUUGCAGUUUUUGCCAUUAAAAGUAUGGUAACAAUACUAAAGUGUAAUACUAAAUGGUCAGACAACAAUUUGCAAAAUGGCAGUAAGUUUUACCUAUCAAUAAUUUUUAAAAUAUCAAAUGGUUUAUCUAAUUAAAAACACAUUGCUAUGUUUUGAAUAUCCCCUUCAAAAUUUAUGUCGCAAUUUAACUGCCACUGUAAUAAAAUUAUAAAGUUUGACCUUUAAGAAGAUAUUAGGUCAUGUGGGACCUACUCUUAUGAAUGAAUUAAUAUUUCCAGAGUGGGUUACUUAGUGGGUCUAUUAAAAAGUAAGCUCUGUGACACCAGGCGUGAUGGCUCAUGCUUGUAAUACCAGCACUGGGAGGCUCAGAUGGGCAGAUCACGAGGUCAGGAGAUGGAGUCCAGCCUGGCUAACACAGUGAAACCCUGUCUCAACUAAAAAUACAAAGAAUUAGCCUGGCAUGGUGGCACGCACCUGUAGUCCCAGCUACUCUUAAGACUGAGGCAGGAGAAUGGCUUGACCCUGGGAGGUGGAAGUUUCAGUGAGCUGAGAUUGCACUAUUGCACUCCAGGCUGGAUGACAAAGCAAGACACCAUCUCAGGAAAAAAAAAAAAAAAAACAGAUUUCUGGUGUACGCCUUUUGUCAUCCUCAUCUUCCUGUCUUUGGUCAUUUUGUGAUGUGGAAAUACGAUGUCAAUAACUGCUCUUGGACUUCACAAUCUAAAAUUGUGAGAGAUAGAGUCUUGCCCUGUUGCCCAGGCUGGAGUGCAUUGGCGAGAUGUCAGCUAACUGCAACUCAUGCCUCCCAGAUUCAAGUGAUUCUCCUCCCUCAGCCUCUCAAGUAGCUGGGAUUAUAGGCGCCCACCACCACAUCUGGCUAAUUUUGUGUGCUGCCCAGGCUGGUCUCAAACUUCUGACCUCAUGAUCGGCCUGCCUCUGCCUCCCAAAUUGCUGGGAUUAUAGGCAUGAGCUACUGCGCUCCAUUGAUAAUUUCUGUUUUUAAAUAAAUUUUUCUUUUCUGAUUAAAUUGUCA
rnacentral:lncRNA from 13 species